rnacentral:rRNA from 1 species
AUUGAACGCUGGCGGCAUGCCUUACACAUGCAAGUCGAACGGUAACAGGGAGCUUGCUCCGCUGACGAGUGGCGAACGGGUGAGUAAUGCAUCGGAACGUACCCAGUCGUGGGGGAUAACGUAGCGAAAGUUACGCUAAUACCGCAUACGUCCUGAGGGAGAAAGCGGGGGACCGUAAGGCCUCGCGCGAUUGGAGCGGCCGAUAUCAGAUUAGGUAGUUGGUGGGGUAAAGGCUCACCAAGCCAACGAUCUGUAGCUGGUCUGAGAGGACGACCAGCCACACUGGAACUGAGACACGGUCCAGACUCCUACGGGAGGCAGCAGUGGGGAAUUUUGGACAAUGGACGCAAGUCUGAUCCAGCCAUUCCGCGUGCAGGAUGAAGGCCCUCGGGUUGUAAACUGCUUUUGUACGGAACGAAAAGGUCUCUCUUAAUACGGGGGGCUCAUGACGGUACCGUAAGAAUAAGCACCGGCUAACUACGUG